rnacentral:rRNA from 1 species
AGCGAACGCUGGCGGCGUACUCAACACAUGCAAGUCGAACGAGGAGCUUCGGUGUAGCAAUACGUCGGAGCCUCUAGUGGCGUACGGGUGAGUAACACGUGGGCAACCUGCCCUUGAGUCCGGGAUGCCCUUCCGAAAGAAAGGCUAAUACUGGAUACGUUCCUUGGGUCGCGAGACUUAAGGACGAAAGGUAGCGAAAGCUGCCGCUCUUGGAGGGGCUCGCGGCCUAUCAGCAGUUGGUGAGGUAACGGCUCACCAAGGCUAUGACGGGUAGCUGGUCUGAGAGGACGACCAGCCACACGGGAACUGAGACACGGUCCCGACUCCUACGGGAGGCAGCAGUGGGGAAUUUUCCGCAAUGGGCGAAAGCCUGACGGAGUGACGCCGCGU